rnacentral:lncRNA from 1 species
CACUGUUAAAGUGUCAACACCCCAUUCUUUAGGAAUUUUAUUGAGUUCAAAUCCACCAAGUCUAGCUAAAUUUAGACCAGGUUGGGAUGUAGGUAUCCUAGCACCAAUGUUACAGUUUUUACGCGAAACGAAAGGUCCUUUCAUGGUGAACCCUUAUCCAUACUUUGGUUACAACCCUGAACAAGUUGAUUUCCUAUUGUUCAAACAAAACAAAGGCGUUUUCGACAACUUUAGUAAAAGGACAUACACAAACAUGUUUGAUAUGUUGUUGGAUGCUGUAUUUAUGUCAAUGAAAAGACUUGGUUAUGAUGAUGUUGAUAUUGUUGCUGCUGAGACAGGAUGGCCAUCAUUUGGUGAAAGCUUUGAACCACAAUGUACUGUGGAGAAUGCAGCAGCAUACAAUGGUGGAUUGGUUAGGAAAAUUGUUGGUGGAGUAGGGACACCAUUGAUGCCA